AUACGGAGGAUGCGAGCGUUAUCCGGAUUUAUUGGGUUUAAAGGGAGUGUAGGUGGGAUAUUAAGUCAGCUGUGAAAGUUUGGGGCUCAACCUUAAAAUUGCAGUUGAUACUGGUUUCCUUGAGUACGGUAUAGGUGGGCGGAAUUCGUGGUGUAGCGGUGAAAUGCUUAGAUAUCACGAAGAACUCCGAUCGCGAAGGCAGCUCACCGGGCCGGAACUGACACUGAUGCUCGAAAGUGCGGGUAUCAAACAGGAUUAGAUACCCUGGUAGUCCGCACAGUAAACGAUGAAUACUCGCUGUUUGCGAUACACUGUAAGCGGCCAAGCGAAAGCGUUAAGUAUUCCACCUGGGGAGUACGCCGGCAACGGUGAAACUCAAAUGAAUUGACGGGG
rnacentral:rRNA from 1 species